GACGAACGCUGGCGGCGUGGAUUAGGCAUGCAAGUCGAACGGUAUCAUCCUUUCGGGGAUGAGAGAGUGGCGAACGGGUGAGUAACACGUAGGUGAUCUACCCUCAAGACGGGGACAACCCAGGGAAACUUGGGCUAAUACCGGAUGUGAGCAACCUUAGGGUUGUUUGAAAGGUGGCUUCGGCUGCCGCUUGGGGAUGAGCCUGCGUCCUAUUAGCUAGUUGGUGAGGUAACGGCUCACCAAGGCAGUGAUAGGUAGGCGGCCUUAACGGGUGGCCGCCCACACUGGGAUUGAGAUACGGCCCAGACUCCUACGGGAGGCAGCAGUCGAGAAUAGUCUACAAUGGUCGAAAGACUGAUAGUGCGACGCCGCGUGAACGAAGAAGCCCUUCGGGUGUAAGUCUUUUAUAUGUGAGCAGUGGGUUCCAUAUGAAUAGUAUGGGAUCAGAGAUAUUAGCAUAUGAAUAAGCCGACGACUAACUCGUC
rnacentral:rRNA from 1 species